CCAUUCAAAUCCAAUCAUUGCAUAAACUAUAAGACCGUAUACCACAGAUUGGACAAAAAUAUAUGGAAGCUCGAUCAAGACCUGUGCAAAGGCAUAGGGCAAGGCGGAAUACAUUCCAGCAGCUCUCUCUCUGUAAAAAACACUUCUUUCAACAGCAACUACUGGCUGCACGGAUGAAGCAUUUUGGAUCCCAAGGAAGACAAUAGCAGCAUACAUUGAUCCCAUUGCAUUGAAAAGAUCUUGACGCUUUGUCCUAUAAUUCAAGACAAGAUAAAUCAGAAAGCAGAUAGGACUGUUGGAAUAUAAAAUUUCACAUUCUUUUGGAUUACUAUUCAUGCUGUAACUUACGUUUUGGAGCCAAGGUCCCAGAACAUUGUUCCAAACAUCAAAGCUAUGACGGUUGUGAAGAGCAAUCUCACAGCAGUAUAUGAUGGAUUGCGCCAGUAUGACCAGUGUUGCUUCCACAAGCAAGCCAUAGUUUGGGUGAAAAAUGACUGUGAGUACUGUGUAGGAAAAUACAGGUCUUUUGAUUCUGGUGCAGGUGUACUUAAUUCUUCAAUCAGUGCUUUGUUUCUCCUAUAUAGUUCUGAAUUUCUGUAAAUAGAAGUAAAAUCCACUCCCAAAGCUGAUUCUUGAGCUGAACUGGUGACUUCCAACAUCCAAGUUGCUGGACUACAUCCAUCUUUGAUGUUAGGAA
rnacentral:misc_RNA from 1 species